rnacentral:lncRNA from 1 species
UCUCCCACGGUGUCUGGGCAUUGCCCUUUGAUUGUUUAUGUGAGCAGGACAGCAGAGAAAAGGUGGAAUGGACAAGGUGACAGGCAGCUUUUGUUUCAGACCCAACACCUUCUGUUGUUCCGGAAGUUUGGCUUUCAACUCUGACUACUUGGUCUUGAGGAAUUCAGAAUUGUUGAAAGGGGAUUAGGACCUUGUCCUUGUGUUUUUAUUCUCAGAUGCAGUACAAGGAGAAAGGAAGGAAGACUGAUGCUUGUGACACAUCCCUGGUGGCCAUGUGGAGAGGUUCAACACCUUCAGCCCCCACAUGCAAGUGAGACUGUGCAGCAUUCAUGUUUCUGUGCCUGGCUUAUUGCACUUAACAGGAUGUCCUCCAGGUGCCGGAUCUAUCGGAAAACACGGUGACUUAGUUGGUAGCUGUGAUGGUUAACGUGAAGUGUCGACAUGAUUCGACUGAAGGAUGCAAAGUAUGGAUCCUGGGUUCGUCUGUG